CUUCUAGGCAGAGUUGCAAAGAAAAGGCCAUAUCUCAGACUUGCCAAUAAAAAUAAAAUAUUGAAAUGGGCAAAAGAACACAGACACUGGACAGAGGAACUCUGCCUAGAAGGCCAGCAUCCCGGAGUCGCCUCUUCACUGUUGACAUUGAGACUGGUGUUUUGUGGGUUCUAUUUAAUGAAGCUGCCAGUUGAGGACUUGGGAGGCGUCUGUUUCUCAAACUUGACACUUUAAUGUACUUGUCCUCUUGCUCAUUUGUGCACCAGGGCCUCCCACUCUGGUUAGAACCAGUUUGCGCUGUUCUGUGAAGAGAGUAGUACACAGAGUUGUACGAGAUCUUCAAAUUCUUGGGAAUUUCUCACAUAGCCUUAAUUUCUCUGAACAACAAUAGACUGAUGAGUUUCAGAAGAAAGUUAUUUGUUUCUGGCCAUUUUGAGCCUGUAAUCAAACACACACAUGCUGAUGCUCCAGAUACUCAACUAGUCUAAAGAAGGCCAGUUUUAUUGCUUCUUUAAUCAGAACAACAGUUUUCAGCUGUGCUAACAUAAUGGCAAAAGGGCUUUCGAAUGAUCAAUAAGCCUUUUAAAAUUAUGAAAUUGGAUUAGCUAACACACCGUGCCAUUGAAACACAGGAGUGAUGGUUGCUGAUAAUGGGCCUCUGUAUGCCUAUGUAGAUAUUCCAUUAAAUAUCUUAUUUCAAAAACAAGGGCAUUUCUAAGUGACCCCAAACUUUGGAACAGUGUUGGAAAUUCCAAAUUGUUUUCAUAGUCAACUUAGACAUAGCAGUGACACACACACGUAACCCACCAGACAUGCCACCAAGGGUAUUGUGCAGUACCAGUCAAAAGUUGACACACCUACUCAUUCCAGGAUUUUUCUUUAUUUCUACUAUUUUCUACAUUGUAUAAUAAUAGUGAAGACAUCAACACUAUGAACUAACUCAUAUGGAAUCAUGUAGUAACCAAAAAUGUGUUAAACAAAUCAAAAUAUAUUUUAUAUUUGAGAUUCUUCAAAGUAUGCUAUUCUCUGUGAUACAGGCGAUUGAGCAGCCAUUGCGAACCAACAAGAUCACUCGGCAGAUCUAUGAACAUUCCGUCUUCAUCAAGGCCAUGCCCGGAAUCAUCAUGGGGGAAUCCAGCCCUUCGGCUGCAUCUUCAUCCAGCUCUUCUUCAUCAACAGGAUCUGAUGUACUACAUGUUUGGGUUCCUGUUCCUGGUGUUCAUCAUUUUCCUCAUCACCUGCUCCAAGGCUGUCAUCCUGCUGUGCUACUUCCUCUCGUGUGCAGAGGUGGGUGGAGCCAUGCAUAUAUGGAUCUGGCAUCACAAUAAUGGUAUACUGUGCUCUCUCUCUCUCUUUGUAUGUAAAUGCAUUAUGUAAUAUUUGUAAAACGGAAUCCUAACGUUUCCAGUUUGCCAGAUUAUCUGUGCCAUUAUGUUUAGCUACCAAAAGUGAAGUCUUUGUGUCAACAGUAAAUCUAUUUUAGUUUCAUGAAAACAUUCUAAAUGAUGCAAAUGUUUCUUUCUCAUAUGACUUAAUUUAUCUCUGCUCAUCGAUCCAAGCACUUAGAUGUCACUACAGUGUCAAAAAAUGUAUUGAGCCGAACCUAAAGAGUGGCUUAUGUUUUGUAUAGGACUCACUGGUGGUGGCAUUCCUUCCUGAUCAGGCUAUUCAUGGCAGUCAACCUGUUUGUUUACGACUUGCACUACUUCUCCAAGCUGCAACCACUACCAUCCUCUACUUUACCAUGAUCAUGGUGCUCAUUUUCUUCCUCUUCACAAGGGAGUCAACAACAGUUCCACACUACGCAAGGCUAGACUCUCUAACAGGUUUAAGUAGAGGCGCUCAGACACAUUUCAUCUUAACGAACAGUGCUGGAGCUUUUGGCAGAGUCAUCGGCCGUUUCCAGCCACUCGUCUCAAUAGGAAUUUUAUCUGCCUUUAAGAAAUGGAAAUGUGUGGUGCUGUAAUAGCGAGCUGAGACAGUUGAAAAUAUUGAUGGGAGGCCUCCCGGGUGGCGCAGUGGUUAAGGGCGCUGUACUGUGUACUGCGCUGUGCCAUCAGAGUCCUGGGUUCGCGCCCAGGCUCUGUCGUAACCGGCCGCGACCGGGAGGUCCGUGGGGCGACGCACAAUUGGCCUAGCGUCGCCCGGGUUAGGGAGGGCUUGGUCGGUAGGGGUGUCCUUGUCUCAUCGCGCACCAGCGACUCCUGUGGCGGGCUGGGCGCAGUGUACGCUAGCCAAGGUGGCCAGGUGCACGGUGUUUCCUCCGGCGCAUUGGUGCGGCUGGCUUCCGGGUUGGAUGUGCGCUGUGUUAAAGAAGCAGCGGCUUGGUUGGUUGUGUAUCGGAGGACGCAUGACUUUCAACCUUCGUCUCUCCCGAGCCCGUACGGGAGUUGUAGCGAUGAGACAAGAUAGUAGCUACUACAACAAUUGGAUACCACGAAAUUGGGGAGAAAAAGGGCUAAAAUUCAAAAAAAAAAAAUUAAAAAAAAAAAUAUUGAUGGGAUAUUUUAGUUGUGCUCCUGAAGUGCUGUGGUAUCUCACUGUUAAAAUCAUCCUAGAGUGGAGAUGAAACACCUGUUGUGUUUAAUGGGCUGAUGUGGGUAAUAGAGAUAAUACAUUUACAAUGGUUUUCUCCUCUUUACUGCAUUUUGCCUUUUUAUGCCAUUAUGUUUACCACUUCAAUGCCCUUAAAUCUGUAGUUUAAAACCUUUUUAGAGAUAGGGGGCAGCAUUUUCACUUUUGGAUGAAUAGCGUGCCCAGAGUCCUACUCUGUCCCAGAUGCUAAUACAGUGCCUUGUGAAAGUAUUCGGCCCCCUUGAACUUUGCGACCUUUUGCCACAUUUCAGGCUUCAAACAUAAAGAUAUAAAACUGUAUUUUUUUUGUGAAGAAUCAACAACAAGUGGGACACAAUCAUGAAGUGGAACGACAUUUAUUGGAUAUUUCAAACUUUUUUAACAAAUCAAAAACUGAAAAAUUGGGCGUGCAA
rnacentral:lncRNA from 13 species